AAAUCUGACAAAUAACCACCUCAUAUAAUUUGAGAAUAGGGCUCAAAAGUUUCUACCCGUCACCGUAAAUGAUGGACUAUGGGGGGGGAAGAUGACAUA
rnacentral:ncRNA from 2 species